GGAACACGAACUUCAUAUGAGGCUAGGUAUCACUGGGUGAGUUUGCACAACAAAACAAAGCCCUUUCUGCCGAAGGUGAUACAGAGUAAAUGAAGCAGAUGGAUGGAAGGAAAGAUUACACU
rfam:Aeribacillus pallidus strain 8m3 NODE_434, whole genome shotgun sequence.